GCAAGUCGAACGGAAAGGCCCUGCUUGCAGGGUACUCGAGUGGCGAACGGGUGAGUAACACGUGGGUGAUCUGCCCUGCACUUCGGGAUAAGCUUGGGAAACUGGGUCUAAUACCGGAUAGGAACCAUCUUUAGUGUGGUGGUUGGAAAGUUUUUUCGGUGUAGGAUGAGCUCGCGGCCUAUCAGCUUGUUGGUGGGGUAAUGGCCUACCAAGGCGGCGACGGGUAGCCGGCCUGAGAGGGUGUACGGCCACAUUGGGACUGAGAUACGGCCCAGACUCCUACGGGAGGCAGCAGUGGGGAAUAUUGCACAAUGGGCGCAAGCCUGAUGCAGCGACGCCGCGUGGGGGAUGAAGGCCUUCGGGUUGUAAACUCCUUUCGCUAGGGACGAAGCUUUUUGUGACGGUACCUAGAUAAGAAGCACCGGCUAACUACGUGCCAGCAGCCGCGGUAAUACGUAGGGUGCGAGCGUUGUCCGGAAUUACUGGGCGUAAAGGGCUCGUAGGUGGUUUGUCGCGUCGUCUGUGAAAUUCUGGGGCUUAACUCCGGGCGUGCAGGCGAUACGGGCAUAACUUGAGUGCUGUAGGGGUAACUGGAAUUCCUGGUGUAGCGGUGAAAUGCGCAGAUAUCAGGAGGAACACCGAUGGCGAAGGCAGGUUACUGGGCAGUUACUGACGCUGAGGAGCGAAAGCAUGGGUAGCGAACAGGAUUAGAUAC
rnacentral:rRNA from 1 species